rnacentral:rRNA from 1 species
CAGUAGCCGCGGGAAUACGGAGGGUGCAAGCGUUAAUCGGAAUUACUGGGCGUAAAGCGCACGCAGGCGGUCUGACAAGUCAGAUGUGAAAUCCCCGGGCUCAACCUGGGAACUGCAUUUGUGACUGUAUAGCUAGAGUACGGCAGAGGGGGAUGGAAUUCCGCGUGUAGCAGUGAAAUGCGUAGAUAUGCGGAGGAACACCGAUGGCGAAGGCAAUCCCCUGGGCCUGUACUGACGCUCAUGCACGAAAGCGUGGGGAGCAAACAGGAUUAGAUACCCCCGUAGUCCCUGUCUCUUAUAA